UACUUCUUGUUUCUUAUUCUUAACAAAUAGAUAUUAGCCCUUUGCAACUGCAAAGAGGAUGUCAGAAAGAAGGUUCACUCUGUGAUUGAAAAGUUUGCUGAACAUGGACUUCGAUCUUUAGCAGUUGCUAGACAGGAAGUACCUGAGAAGACAAAAGAUAGUCCAGGGGCACCGUGGCAGUUUGUUGGUUUAUUGCCUUUAUUUGAUCCACCUAGGCAUGAUGGUGCAGACACCAUCAAAAGAGCUCUCAAUCUUGGAGUGAAUGUAAAGAUGAUUACUGGUGAUCAGCUUGCAAUUGGCAAGGAAACUGGUCGGCGGCUGGGAAUGGGAACAAACAUGUAUCCAUCUUCUGCAUUGCUUGGCCAAGACAAGGAUGCAUCCGUUGUGGCCCUCCCUGUCGAUGAGUUGAUUUAGCAGGCUGAUGGAUUUGCUG